rnacentral:rRNA from 1 species
GAUGAACGCUGGCGGCGUGCCUAAUACAUGCAAGUCGAGCGAACGGACGAGAAGCUUGCUUCUCUGAUGUUAGCGGCGGACGGGUGAGUAACACGUGGAUAACCUACCUAUAAGACUGGGAUAACUUCGGGAAACCGGAGCUAAUACCGGAUAAUAUUUUGAACCGCAUGGUUCAAAAGUAAAAGACGGUCUUGCUGUCACUUAUAGAUGGAUCCGCGCUGCAUUAGCUAGUUGGUAAGGUAACGGCUUACCAAGGCAACGAUGCAUAGCCGACCUGAGAGGGUGAUCGGCCACACUGGAACUGAGACACGGUCCAGACUCCUACGGGAGGCAGCAGUAGGGAAUCUUCCGCAAUGGGCGAAAGCCUGACGGAGCAACGCCGCGUGAGUGAUGAAGGUCUUCGGAUCGUAAAACUCUGUUAUUAGGGAAGAAUAUAUGUGUAAGUAACUGUGCACAUCUUGACGGUACCUAAUCAGAAAGCCACGGCUAACUACGUGCCAGCAGCCGCGGUAAUACGUAGGUGGCAAGCGUUAUCCGGAAUUAUUGGGCGUAAAGCGCGCGUAGGCGGUUUUUUAGUCUGAUGUGAAAGCCCACGGCUCAUCCGUGGAGGGUCAUUGGAAACUGGAAAACUUGAGUGCAGAAGAGGAAAGUGGAAUUCCAUGUGUAGCGGUGAAAUGCGCAGAGAUAUGGAGGAACACCAGUGGCGAAGGCGACUUUCUGGUCUGUAACUGACGCUGAUGUGCGAAAGCGUGGGGAUCAAACAGGAUUAGAUACCCUGGUAGUCCACGCCGUAAACGAUGAGUGCUAAGUGUUAGGGGGUUUCCGCCCCUUAGUGCUGCAGCUAACGCAUUAAGCACUCCGCCUGGGGAGUACGACCGCAAGGUUGAAACUCAAAGGAAUUGACGGGGACCCGCACAAGCGGUGGAGCAUGUGGUUUAAUUCGAAGCAACGCGAAGAACCUUACCAAAUCUUGACAUCCUUUGACAACUCUAGAGAUAGAGCCUUCCCCUUCGGGGGACAAAGUGACAGGUGGUGCAUGGUUGUCGUCAGCUCGUGUCGUGAGAUGUUGGGUUAAGUCCCGCAACGAGCGCAACCCUUAAGCUUAGUUGCCAUCAUUAAGUUGGGCACUCUAAGUUGACUGCCGGUGACAAACCGGAGGAAGGUGGGGAUGACGUCAAAUCAUCAUGCCCCUUAUGAUUUGGGCUACACACGUGCUACAAUGGACAAUACAAAGGGCAGCGAAACCGCGAGGUCAAGCAAAUCCCAUAAAGUUGUUCUCAGUUCGGAUUGUAGUCUGCAACUCGACUACAUGAAGCUGGAAUCGCUAGUAAUCGUAGAUCAGCAUGCUACGGUGAAUACGUUCCCGGGUCU